rnacentral:rRNA from 1 species
GACGAACGCUGGCGGCGUGCUUAACACAUGCAAGUCGAACGCUGAAGCCUAGCUUGCUGGGUGGAUGAGUGGCGAACGGGUGAGUAACACGUGAGUAACCUGCCCCCUUCUUUGGGAUAACGCCCGGAAACGGGUGCUAAUACUGGAUAUUCACUGAUCUUCGCAUGGGGGUUGGUGGAAAGGUUUUUUCUGGUGGGGGAUGGGCUCGCGGCCUAUCAGCUUGUUGGUGGGGUGAUGGCCUACCAAGGCUUUGACGGGUAGCCGGCCUGAGAGGGUGACCGGUCACAUUGGGACUGAGAUACGGCCCAGACUCCUACGGGAGGCAGCAGUGGGGAAUAUUGCACAAUGGGCGAAAGCCUGAUGCAGCGACGCCGCGUGAGGGAUGGAGGCCUUCGGGUUGUAAACCUCUUUCGCUCAUGGUCAAGCCGCAACACUGGUUGUGGUGAUGGGUAGUGG